rnacentral:rRNA from 1 species
AUGUACAUUCCUACAAUGUUAAUGCAUUGGAUCUCAUCAUAACUCUACAGUUUAACACUCUUUGGAUAGAGUAUUAUUGGGAUGAGUGACCUAUUGAUAAGUCCUAGCGUUUUACAUG